rnacentral:rRNA from 1 species
GAUGAACGCUGGCGGCGUGCCUAAUACAUGCAAGUCGAGCGAACGGACGAGAAGCUUUCUUUUCUGAUGUUAGCGGCGGACGGGUGAGUAACACGUGGAUAACCUACCUAUAAGACUGGGAUAACUUCGGGAAGCCGGAGCUAAUACCGGAUAAUAUUUUGAACCGCAUGGUUCAAAAGUGAAAGACGUUCUUGCUGUCACUGAUAGAUGGAUCCGCGCUGCAUUAGCUAGUUGGUAAGGUAACGGCUUACCAAGGCAACGAUGCAUAGCCGACCUGAGAGGGUGAUCGGCCACACUGGAACUGAGACACGGUCCAGACUCCUACGGGAGGCAGCAGUAGGGACUCUUCCGCAAUGGGCGAAAGCCUGACGGAGCAGCGCCGCGUGAGUGAUGAAGGUCUUCGGAUCGUAAAACUCUGUUAUUAGGGAAGAACAUAUGUGUAAGUAACUGUGCACAUCUUGACGGUACUUAAUCAGAAAGCCACGGCUAACUACGUG